GUUAAUGAUUAGGUGUUUAUCGUCGUUUGGUAUGUAUCGUCGUUAAUGAUUAGGUAUUUAUCGUCGUUAAUAAUUAGGUAUCAAUCGUUGUUAAUGAUUUGGCAUUUAUCGUCGUUAAUCGAUUAGGUAUUUUCGUCGUUAAUGAUUUGGUAUUUAUCGUCGCUAAUGAGUUGGUAUUUACCGUCGUUAUUUUUUUUGGUCUUCCAACUGAUUUACAAGGCGCUACUUUGGAAUUCUCUGUAGACGAAAUGCACGUCUGGAGUAUCAGAUAUGAGCAUGGUUUCUUUGAUGAGUUCUGAUAACAGAUAGAAGAUAUCGAACCAAAAAAUGAGCAUCAGAAAGGC
rnacentral:lncRNA from 1 species